rnacentral:tRNA from 2 species
GCCCCUUUAGUCUAAUCAAGACGAGGGCUUUUCAAGCCCUAGAACUAAGUGAAACUCCUAGAAGGAGCA